AGGAGCGUAGCUCAGUGGUAGAGCACUUGCCUACCAUACAUGAGGCCCUGGGUUCAAUCCUCACCACCCCAA
rnacentral:tRNA from 1 species